UGGGGAAUAUUGCGCAAUGGGGGAAACCCUGACGCAGCGACGCCGCGUGGAGGAAGAAGGUUUUCGGAUUGUAAACUCCUGUUAAGUGGGAAGAAAGACCAGAUGUUAAUACCAUCUGGGGAUGACGGUACCACUAGAGAAAGCACCGGCUAACUUCGUGCCAGCAGCCGCGGUAAUACGAAGGGUGCAAGCGUUAUUCGGAGUUACUGGGCGUAAAGAGCGUGUAGGCGGUCUGCUAAGUUAACUGUUAAAGACCUUGGCUUAACCAGGGAAAUGCGGUUGAAACUGACGGACUAGAGGUUAAGAGAGAGAAGUAGAAUUCUCGGAGUAGCGGUAAAAUGCGUAGAUCUCGAGAGGAAUACCGAUUGCGAAGGCAGCUUCUUGGCUUAUACCUGACGCUAAAGCGCGAAAGCGUGGGGAGCAAACAGG
rnacentral:rRNA from 1 species